CCCUUAGAUGUUCUGGGCCGCACGCGCGCUACACUGAUGCAUUCAACGAGCCUAUCCUUGACCGACAGGUCCGGGUAAUCUUUGAAUCUGCAUCGUGACGGGGAUAGAUUAUUGCAAUUAUUAAUCUUCAACGAGGAAUGCCUAGUAAGCGUGAGUCAUCAGCUCACGUUGAUUACGUCCCUGCCCUUUGUACACACCGCCCGUCGCUCCUACCGAUUGAAUGUGCUGGUGAAAAGUUCGGAUUGGGAAUAGGAGACGGCAACGUAUCCUGUUUCUGAGAAAAUCUUUAAACCCUCCCAUUUAGAGGAAGGAGAAGUCGUAACA
rnacentral:rRNA from 1 species